GUGCUCGCUUCAGCAGCACAUUCUCCAAAACUGGAAAGACACAGAGAAGAUUAGCACGGCCCCUGUGCAAGGACGACAUGCAAAUUCGUGAAGCGCUCCACAUUUUU
ensembl:snRNA U6 U6 spliceosomal RNA